ensembl:lncRNA
GCUGGGAUUGGUCACAAUUCCUUCAGAGAGGGCCAGAAUGGGAUACAAAUAAAAAUAAUUCCACAUGUAACAGCCACUGUUUGGUCAGACUCUGGAAGCCUUCACUUGCAAAAGACUGCAGAUCUCAUCCUUGCCCAUCUUAGGGUCUUCAAAUGUCUCAUGUAGAGCUUCAAAGCUGACAGCAGAUGCUGAGAUAGCAGAAACAAAGCCAAGGAGACGCAAAGGAACAGGAGGAGCAAGAAGAGAUCACAGAUGCCCGUGAUUGGCUGGUGUUGCUGUGAUUGACAGGGGAAAAGAGUCAUUGCAUCCCUCCCACCCAGACAGCACAGCCAGUUUUGCUCCCUGUAGCAUUGUAGGGAUUUGAACUCGAGCAAACAGAGUCUGUUGUGCCACAUGGUAACCAUUGGAAAAUUG